AUUUAGCUCAGUUGGUUCAGAGCAUCCCGAUUAAUCGGGAGGGUCAGGGGUUCGAAUCCCUUAUU
rnacentral:tRNA from 2 species